CGUGUAGGCGGCCUAAUAAGUUAGAAGUGAAACCUAUCGGUUUAACUGAUAGCCUGCUUCUAAAACUGCUAAGCUUGAGUGCAGAAGAGGGGAGUGGAAUUCCCAGUGUAGCGGUGAAAUGCGUAGAUAUUGGGAGGAACACCAGUGGCGAAAGCGGCUCCUUGGUCUGUAACUGACGCUGAGGCGCGAAAGCGUGGGUAGCAAAUA
rnacentral:rRNA from 1 species